rnacentral:tRNA from 1 species
GACCCGGUAGCUCAGUGGAUAGAGCACUUGCCUACGAAGCAAGGGGUCGUGGGUUCGAGUCCCUCCCGGGUCG